GGAAAGGUGGCUCAGUGGUAGAGCGUGCAUGCAUGAGGCCCUGGGUUCAAUUCCCAGCCUCA
rnacentral:tRNA from 1 species